ACUCCUACGGGAGGCAGCAGUGGGGAAUAUUGCACAAUGGGCGCAAGCCUGAUGCAGCAACGCCGUGUGAGUGAAGAAGGUUUUCGGAUCGUAAAACUCUGUCCUAAGGGAAGAAACAAAUGACGGUACCUUAGGAGGAAGCCCCGGCUAACUACGUGCCAGCAGCCGCGGUAAUACGUAGGGGGCAAGCGUUAUCCGGAAUCACUGGGCGUAAAGGGUGCGUAGGCGGCUUAGCAAGCCAGGGGUGAAAGGCAUUGGCUCAACCAAUGUAAGCCUUUGGAACUGUUAGGCUUGAGUGCAGGAGAGGUAAGUGGAAUUCCUAGUGUAGAGGUGAAAUUCGUAGAUAUUAGGAGGAACACCAGUGGCGAAGGCGACUUACUGGACUGUAACUGACGCUGAUGCACGAAAGCGUGGGUAGCGAACAGGAUUAGAUACCCUGGUAGCACAGAG
rnacentral:rRNA from 1 species